GGGAGAAGCUUCAGGCUAGGGGGGAGAGGCAGAAGCAGAGGCUGUGACACACAACUAUGACCCUGGGGUUUUCCUUGUGUUUCCCUGUGUUUUUCCCCUCCGCUAUGUGUUCCAGUCUGUCUACAUAUGUCUGUGUCUGUGGGCAUGGCACUCCAGGCUUCAAAGCAGACACACUGACUUGUCAUAGUAGGAAAAGCACAGCUCCAGUAUAUCUACCCCCUGUCAUUCAUCCAGUCAUCAUCAGAUCAUUCAGUCAGCUACAGUGGAUCAUCUCCACCGGUCGGCCUCUUCAUCUGCUUGCCUGCUCUCCCUCUGCAAGUCCCUUUGCCCGUCCAAUUAACCACGGCAUUCCCUCCACGCAUAGCCUAAUAAUAAAUCCCUUUAAUUCUG